rnacentral:rRNA from 1 species
AUGCUUCCGGUGCAAUCUCCUGUCGGCGGUGAGCUACUCCUCCGCCUGCUGGUGCUCCUGGAGGAGCUGGUGGUUGUAGACGAUGUUAGCAUGCGCCUCCCGGAACUGCUCCUCACGCACCAUGUCCAUGUAAUAGGCACGAGCCUCGCCGAUGGUCAUGGUGCAAUGCAGUGGCGAGGGUGGCGGCGAGGAGGAGGAGGGUGGCGCUGGCUCGUCGUCGACCGCGUCCUCCAUUGGGACGUUGUCGUCCUCCGGCUGCCAGCCGACAGCAAUGGCGGCCAUCUCCUUCUAAUCCGUUGUCAGCCCGUCUCAGAGAGCUUUGGAGUGCGGGGAAGCCAUGGUGGGAAUGGUGCAGAGAGGAGAAAGGGAUCAAAGGCGGAUGAUUGCGGCUAUGGUCAGGACAAUAAUUUAUAUAGCAACGAUGGCCGGCAGAGGGGCGGACGGGUGGUGUCGGAGUAG